CAAAAUACAUUACUUACCGUUUUCCGUUAGUAACGAAGAUCCAAUGGUUAGUUCUGCUAUGGUUGCACCCAUACAACAGCUUGCACAUUCCCACUAAUCAGAGUAUGUACUCAGGCUGUGGACACAUGCUGUCCUGGUCUGAAAUUACUUCCAGGUUAGGCCAUUGCUGCCUGCUCAUUUCCCAUGCUUUCUCUCCUUCACAUUUUAUAGGUUUGUUAAAAAUUAGCCACAAAUCCAGCCUAAUUUUAGUGUCCUUUUUAUUCAUUUGUUCCAACUGUUGUACUCCCCUGAACUCUUCCUCUCAUACAAGUACAAUUUAUUCCCACACGUGGCAGGCAUGCUCAUGAAUUAUUUAUGUUGCUUUGAUAACUUAUACUUUGAAAAUAAUGAGGAAAGCAAAUGUUUCCAGUGUAGAAGUCAUAACAAGCAAGAAAUCCAGCGAAGCUACUGGGCAAGAAGGUGGUAAAAUGCCCCAAGUUAAAAAAAUAUACCUUUUCAAUGUCCAAAGAAACAUCGCAAAAGUCAUUCAAAGCAAGCACCUAUCCUCAGAAACGGUGCUAUUCAGCUCAAAUUAGGAACCAAUAUCUUGCAAUGACCAAAGAAGCUCUCAUUUCUCCAGUUUGCAUCCUGUACAUGGGAAAAAAUUUUGGCAGGCUGAGGGUUGAAUACAUAUACAGCUGUCUCAUCUAUUGCACCUGACACACGUUCUGGACAAAGGUUGUGUGGGAUAAACCAAUGACAGCUUUUCCAUCUACUUGCAAGCAGGGAGAAACUUCCCUACUUCCCCUCACAAAUUAGAAAGACUGAGGUCUGCUGAGAGGAAGAAAAUUGUCUAUAUACACCAGGGGAAAACACGCUAUGCGAUACAGCUUCUGGGUGCUUUGGUCUUACAUCACACUGAGAGAAAGAGUUAGGCAUUGCUUUUGCUUCCUGAACACAGACCACCCCACAAAGCAGGGGAUGCAAUAUCUAAUGAAGUAGUUCAUUUAGGCAGAAAUUUGGUAAAAGUCUGAGAAAAUUGUUCAAUCAUUUUCAAGUGUUAAACAAAAAAGAAACGAGCAGGAAAGGAUAUGCUAUCUCAGCAAAGGGGAGAGGAAUGUAACAAAAUAAUGACUUGUUUUACACAGACUUCACCCCUCGUUUGUGCAGAAGUGGUAGGAAGCAAAGCUUCCUGAAGGCAGUGUAAUGUUAGCAGCCUGGAGUGUGAGGAAUCAGCCAUUUCACCCCGUGUACUGACUGCUGGGGCUUUGAGCAAGGCAAUCAGCCCAUGGGCCAAUAUUCCUGGCAGAAGGGGCCAUGCGGCCUAGCAUCAGUACUGCCUGCAUGUACUGCCUGACAAAAUGUCUCAUGUGACACUUUUGUCACCAGGGCUACUGAGCUGGAUUAGAUCAGUGUAGAUGUACGUUCCACGGGUUGUCAUAGCAACGAGAAACUAGGCAGGUGGAAAAUGGCUCCCACCUAUCCUCCCCAGACUUCAUGGGGCUGUGUGGGAUGGAGCUGGGGGCUCAAGGCCUUUGAGGCCUGGCAGCUAACAGAAUAGAGAAAGGAUGUGACUAUGAAGCAGAGAAGUGAAGAGGAUUUAACACAAACACUGAAAUACUCCAUACCUCUAAACAUGUACCCCAUACUUUAAAAAGAUUUUAUACAAUUCACAUGGAUAUAACCCAUCCUUCCUUAAUCUGAACCCCAGCUGACUUUGAGGGGUACCUGCUAUGACUUUGGUUCUGAGAACUCAACGCUGAGCACUCCUGAUCUCCUCUGCUCAUAGACAGAGCCAUUUCUGCCAUGACAGAAUGGCCCUGCUUCUGAUUCACUAUCAGCUUUUAUAAAGGUUUGCAACUUGUUGGUGCUUCUACUGCUUGUCAAGCACAAAUGCCUUACGGUGGCCUUAUGAAUUACAGUGAACUCUGACCUUUUGAAUAUAAAACAGCUUUAUGAAGCAGGGAAGGAUCCAAAGCCUCCAUCUGUGGCAAAGCAACACUCCAAUCUACAUUGGGAACAAAGGAUAUGAUAUUUCCUCUGUGUAUGUUCAUUGAGCAAGAAGGGCAAGUGGGCUAUCAAUCUCUGCUUCUCCUCAGGAGGAUCAGUGUGUGGAAGGGGGCAUUUUCUGCCAAGUUUGAGUCUGUCAGGUAAGGAAUUGGUGAUGACCUUAAAUUUCUGAAAGAUCCUCUGGGCACCUGUUACCCCUUGGAAACAACCUCACCACCCACUCCUUUAAGAGUAUAUUAGAAUGUUUUUUUUGGAUCCGGAUGAUUGCUUGACUCUUCCUUCUGAUAAAAAAAGAAAAGAAUUCCCUAGAAAGAGAUAGUAAUACCAAGAGAAACCUGCUGCUUCUGCUGUGAUAAGUUCUCUUUCAUUUAUGUGAAAAUAAAAACU